GCCGAGAUAGCUCAGCUGGGAGAGCAAUAGACUGAAGUUGUUAUUCGGUAAAUCUAGAGGUCCCGUGUUCAAUCCACGGUCUUGGCA